rnacentral:lncRNA from 1 species
CCUCUGCAGCUCUAAGCUUUACUCACUUGCCUGUAGUUCUUUGUGUAGAACUAAGGCCUCGUGGACUUUUCUCUGUUCAGUUUGGCAUGCUUAUUGGUAUUCUUUCUUAUUUCACUCAUAUUUGGGCAGUCAUGUUAACAAAACUGUGUAGGUAUAGCUUCUGAUAUUACUAGAAGACACAAUCUCACAAUAAACUCACUGAUCUGGCUUUUAUAAUCUUUACAUGGCCCCUGCCUCCUGCAAUGUUCCCUGAUCCUUGGUGUGGGGGUGCUUUGUAGAUAUAUCAUUGGACUGGCAACUCCUCAACUCUGCAUAUUGACUGGUUGUGGUCUCUAAUUUUGACAAAGGAAAAUUUCCAUAAUGAAGGAUGAAGACUACACUUAUCCGUGGGUAUAAGAGCAAAUAUUUAUAGAGUGUUAUUAGGGAAUAUGCUGGUUUGGUAUAUUAGUGGUUGCAGAUUCUUCUUCAAUAGCAAUGAUGUCGCUAUCACUGAUUAGGUAGCUAUGUUUAAAGUACGAGGCAUAGUACCCUCUUGUUGAGCAGCUCUCAAUUUCAAUUAGUAAGUGUUUGGGUAUUGCAAAGAUGUGUGUGCCAUUGCUAAGCUUUAGGUUUAUCAUACUCUUCUUGUCACUGAUGUUGUUCAUAGGUAACAUAGCUGGGUCGGUCUGAUGACUCCAUCCUCCUUUGGAAGCUUACAUGGGGACUGUGGAGGGCUGUAGCUUCGAUGACAGGAGCCA